rnacentral:snRNA from 1 species
AGGGGAGGGCAAUCUGGUUGUGACAUCUGUCACCCCAUUAAUUUCCAGGGUUGAUUUGGCUGAUCUGGCUGGCUAGGUGAUGUCCUCUCCCUCCCACAUUGCUCUGUGUAUGUCCCUCUGGAAGCUGAAUGCCUGUUUGGAGAGGACAACCUUCCCCAAUACAGAAGAUCAUUCUUUGGUGUAGGAUAUACGAGUAGCUGCGAUCCUCAGCUAGAACCUCCAAACAAGCUCUCAAAGCCCUUAGACAAUAUUUUUAUCUAAUCUACAAACUGUAUUUGAUUUCACAUUUUUUU